AGCGGCGGACGGGUGAGUAACACGUGGGCAACCUGCCUGUAAGACUGGGAUAACUUCGGGAAACCGGAGCUAAUACCGGAUAAUCCUUUUCCUCUCAUGAGGAAAAGCUGAAAGACGGUUUACGCUGUCACUUACAGAUGGGCCCGCGGCGCAUUAGCUAGUUGGUGAGGUAACGGCUCACCAAGGCGACGAUGCGUAGCCGACCUGAGAGGGUGAUCGGCCACACUGGGACUGAGACACGGCCCCGACUCCUACGGGAGGCAGCAGUAGUGAAUCUUCCGCAAUGGACGAAAGUCUGACGGAGCAACGCCGCGUGAGUGAUGAAGGUUUUCGGAUCGUAAAACUCUGUUGUUAGGGAAGAACAAGUACAAGAGUAACUGCUUGUACCUUGACGGUACCUAACCAGAAAGCCACGGCUAACUACGUGCCAGCAGCCGCGGUAAUACGUAGGUGGCAAGCGUUGUCCGGAAUUAUUGGGCGUAAAGCGCGCGCAGGCGGUCCUUUAAGUCUGAUGUGAAAGCCCACGGCUCAACCGUGGAGGGUCAUUGGAAACUGGGGGACUUGAGUGCAGAAGAGAAGAGUGGAAUUCCACGUGUAGCGGUGAAAUGCGUAGAGAUGUGGAGGAACACCAGUGGCGAAGGCGACUCUUUGGUCUGUAACUGACGCUGAGGCGCGAAAGCGUGGGGAGCAAACAGGAUUAGAUACCCUGGUAGUCCACGCCGUAAACGAUGAGUGCUAAGUGU
rnacentral:rRNA from 1 species